GACGAACGCUGGCGGCGUGCCUAAUACAUGCAAGUAGGACGCAGUUGCGAACGGGUGAGUAACGCGUAGGUAACUACCUAUUAGAGGGGGAUAACUAUUGGAAACGCUAGCUAAUACCGCAUACUAGUAGAUGGACCUGCGUUGUAUUAGCUAGUAGGUAGGGUAAUGGCCUACCUAGGCAACGAUACAUAGCCGGCCUGGGAGGGGGGUCGGCCAACAUGGGAGUGGGGAACGGCCCAGACGCCUACGGGAAGCAGCAGUAGGGAAUCUUCGGGAAUGGGGGGAAACCUUACCCGGCAACGCCGCGUGAGUGAAGAAGGUUUUCGGAUCGUAAAGCUCUGUUGUUAAGGAAGCGGUACUUAACCAGAAAGGGACGGCUAACUACGUGCCAGCAGCCGCGGUAAUAC
rnacentral:rRNA from 1 species